GAUGAACGCUGGCGGCGUGCCUAAUACAUGCAAGUCGAGCGAACAGACGAGGAGCUUACUCCUCUGACGUUAGCAGCGGACGGGUGAGUAACACGUGGAUAACCUACCUAUAAGACUGGGAUAACUUCGGGAAACCGGAGCUAAUACCGGAUAACAUGUUGAACCGCAUGGUUCAACAGUGAAAGACGGUCUUGCUGUCACUUAUAGAUGGAUCCGCGUCGCAUUAGCUAGUUGGUAAGGUAACGGCUUACCAAGGCAACGAUGCGUAGCCGACCUGAGAGGGUGAUCGGCCACACUGGAACUGAGACACGGUCCAGACUCCUACGGGAGGCAGCAGUAGGGAAUCUUCCGCAAUGGGCGAAAGCCUGACGGAGCAACGCCGCGUGAGUGAAGAAGGUCUUCGGAUCGUAAAACUCUGUUAUUAGGGAAGAACAAAUGUGUAAGUAACUAUGCACGUCUUGACGGUACCUAAUCAGAAAGCCACGGCUAACUACGUG
rnacentral:rRNA from 1 species